rnacentral:rRNA from 1 species
UUGACGGUACCCUACUAGAAAGGAGCCGCUAACUUCGUGCCAGAAGCGUCGGUAAUACGGGGGCUCCAAGCGUUAUCCGGUGUUAUUGGGCGUAAAGAGUCGUGUAGGUGGUUGGGUAAGUUAUCUUUCAAAUAUCUUUGCUUAACAAAGGGGAGGGGGAUAAUACUGCUCGACUAGAAUUUUCUCAAGGGAGAUCGGAACUGAGGGAGGAGUAGUGAAAUGCGUUGAUACCCUCGGGAACACCAGUGGCGUAGGCGGAUCUCUGGGAGAAGAUUGACACUGAGACACGAAAGCUAGGGGAGCGAAGCAGAUUAGAGACCUGCGUAGUCCUAGCCGUAAACGCAUGCUUGCUAGCUGCAUGAAUCUACCUUCGGGUGGUAUCGUGUGGCGAAGGUAACCCGUUAAGCAAGCCGCCUGGAAAGUACGGCCGCAAGGCUGAAAUUCAAAGGAAUUGGCGGGGAGGCACACAACCAGUGGAACAUGUGGUUUAAUUCGAGACUAACCGAAGAACCUCACCAGGGUUUGACAUGUAGCUGCACGUCUUAAGAAAUUAAGACUCUCUUGAAGGUGCUACACAGGUGCUGCAUGGCUGUCGUCAGCUCGUUCCGUGAGGAGUGCCCUUAAGUGGGACAACGAGCGCAACCCCUAUUACAUGUUAGAAAUGUCAUGUAAGACUGCCUUGCCAUUUGGCGGGGAGGAAGGAGGGGCAGACGUCAAGUCCGCAUGGUCCUUAUGCCCUGGGCUACACACAUGUUACAAUGAGUACGGCAAUGAGUCUGUCGCGAGCACGUAAGUGUAAGCUAAUCUCUUAAAUGUACUCUCAGUGGGGAUUGAGGUCUGCAACUCGACCUCAUGAACACGGAAUUGGUAGUAAUCGCGGGUCAGCUAUACCGCGGUGAUACGUUCUUGCCUCUUGCACACACCGCCCGUCAAACCAGCAAAGU